rnacentral:rRNA from 1 species
CAGCACCUCAAGUGGUCAGGAUGAUUAUUGGGCCUAAAGCAUCCGUAGCCUGCUUUGUUAGUUUUCGGUUAAAUCCAUACGCUCAACGUAUGGGCUGCCGGGAAUACUGCAAAGCUAGGAAGUGGGAGAGGUAGACGGUACUCGGUAGGAAGGGGUAAAAUCCUUUGAUCUAUUGAUGACCACCUGUGGCGAAGGCGGUCUACCAGAACACGUCCGACGGUGAGGGAUGAAAGCUGGGGGAGCAAACCGGAUUAGAUACCCGAGUAGUCC